rnacentral:lncRNA from 1 species
GGUUUGAUGCUCGCGGGGGAUCUCGGCUAUUUGGAGGAUCCGCAGUAUGCUGGGCCGUGACCCCAGUGCCAAGGACAGUGCAUGCAGGACCCAGCAGGCCUACCACCCCAGGCCAGUCUAUUCUAAUGUUCGACACAUCGGAGCUGAACCUCUGGAAAUGGAUGCUCUGGUCUCGAGGGCACCACCUCCAUGUGGACGGGUUUGGACACUCCGCCCAAGGGAGCCCUACCUGCUGCCAGGUGGCACAGCCCACACCUUGGUCAGGAGGAAGGGGCCCACAGGCUUAGGGAGGCAAGGGCAAGGGGCAGCCUCCGAGCCCCGGUGGGUUCUCCCCACGUUCACUAGCAGUUCCCUGGGCAGUCGGGAGACGCACCCAGGCAAGAACUGGGGUGAGGGGUAUGUCAGACCGAACCAAGUUGGCCUGGGCACCGGGCCCCUGUGUGUUCAUCAACCAGGAGAGCCCUGUGUGCUGGCCAGGGUGCCUGGCGGGUGGCCCAGGUGCCAGCCAUGGCCAGUGCUGCUCUGCUGCUGACGUACAUAUGAGCCAGCCGAGGGCUGACCACCCCUGGGGAUCUGGGUGAGGGGAUUCCCAAGGGCAAAUCUAAUCUCACCGUUUCACGUCCAGCAAACCACCUGUCACUGUCUGCGGAACCUUUGCCGGACGCCCAGCAUGUACCGCAGGCUUCAUGCCAGGCCUGCCAGGGGGCUCCCCCAGGUGCUCUGACAUGAGCAUCUUCCUGUGUGUGCCUCAAAGCUGGGUGCGUCUGAGAUGGGUGCCCAGCAUGGUGGCUCCCCGGGCGGCAUAUGUGAGCCUGUUGCAAGGUGCGCAGGAAGCCACAGGGGCACCAGGGAAGUUUGGUGCUUGAGGGAGAAAUCUGGAGGUUUACGAGUGCCCGGGGGAGGCGUGAGAGCAUUGUUAAGCCCUGUGAGGAAGGGUAGCGAUGUUGCCUCUCCUGAGUGUGCAUCUUGAACCCAGGGCCCUGGAGGUGGCCUGGCCAUCUGCUUCCACUCCCAGCUACCCCAGACCCCACCCUGUGAGCCCUAGUUCUGCCCUCCACUGUGCCCCUACCACACUCUAGCUCAGACCCCAGACCAGCUUCCCAGCAGACUCCCUUCAUCAUCUCCCCUCUGAGGCCACCCAGCCCAGAGAACCUCCCCCACGGGGAUUGGGGAGCAGCACGCCCCCCACCCAGAGCACUCAUUUCCAAGCCUUCCCUGCCCCCGAGCCUGGUCUAUCUAGUGCACCCUCACCUCCUCUGCCCCUCCUCAGGGUCCUCGGGGUCCUCGCAUACAGGCCAC